UUCUGUGAUGAAUAAAAUCAAAUCACCAUCUUUCGGCUGA
rnacentral:snoRNA from 1 species